rnacentral:lncRNA from 1 species
GGAACAUUCAUUUCGAGAAGUCCUAAUCAAGUCUUCUAAUUUUGUGCACAUAGCUUUUUGAAGAGCUCUAGACAUUAGCAACUAGUUGAAUAUUUGUUGUCACCACUAUUCUGCUUGAAACAUAUCGUUUGCAAUGCGUGGUUUCAUGUUUCUCCACAAAACUUUUGUUUAGAUGUCAACAAUCACAAUUAAAUACCCAAAAGAAAACUAAUGAAGAAAGUACUCAAUUUCCUUCAAGAUCAUCAGAAAAAAAGUCUAUUUUUACAACCUAACUAGUCCCAAUCUAGAAAUCACUCUUGAACUACAAAUCUGAAUAUAUCACGCUGUUGAACAACUAAAACUGAUCACUUUAUACCACUAUAAGACCCAAAG